rnacentral:tRNA from 1 species
AGCAGCGUGGCGCAGCGGAAGCGUGCUGGGCCCAUAACCCAGAGGUCCCUGGAUCGAAACCAGGUGCUGCUA